AUGACCAAUGAACACAGGUGAAACAGGGAGGAGCCAGGGAUGAGAGGAAAGCAGAAGGAGCCAGUUGGGGCAGACCACAGCCAGUACAAAUGCCAGAUGCAGGUGGAGACCCAGGCAGAGCCAAAGAGCUGAUGAGACCAUGUGACACUGAUGGAUCUGGAGACCAAGGCGGUGCCACAGUGACGAGCAUCCGAGGUGGAGCUAGGGUGCCAGAGGACUGAGGCAAAGGUGGUGAGACUGAGGACCAAGGCCGAGCCGGAGGGAAGACUAAGCCGAAGGGGUGGAGGGAUGACAUGAAGCUGAAGGCCAGCUGCUCUGGCUAAAAUCCACACAGCAGCAUCACUGAGGGUCAUCACACAGAAGCAGAUACCUAGACAAACCCACCAGGCCUACACUCCAUCCACAUUUGACAAGACUCUCUUCCCGAUUAAACAACAUGGAGGGGAAUGAGGCAGAGUGUGAGCCAUGUUAAACAGCACUGGGGAGGAGUGUGAGGUGCUGGGAUCUCGGAGGGCAUUUUACUGGACAUGAACUCACAUGAAAACUAGUGCACUCACAUCACUGCAGAUGUUAGUGGAGGAAAGCACACAAGGUACAUUCAGUCACAAAAAAAAUAAAUAAAUAAAAAUAUAAAAAAAAUAAAAUAUGAGUAGUACUACUGAAAAAUAUGUUUAUAAUCAUGUAGACUUACAUGAGAUGAAGAUUCCAAUCAAAUCAGUAGCUUAAUACAAGCAGAUAAUUUUUACAUGGAUCCCCAUGGAGCCAUUUUGAAAUCACAUGACCAGCACAAUGCUAAAUAGUUUAUUUUGGUAAUCACCAUGUUAGUUAACAUUGUAAAUUAAUCAUUGCUAAGUGUUAUUAUUGGCCCAUUUCUACAAUAGCAUCGAUAUUUUUUUCUCCUUUUUUGGAGUCAUGAAUAUUUACAGUUAUAUAUUGUGUGUCAUCACAUUAUUACCCAUAAAAAAAUUAGUACAAUGAGGAGUAAAAAUUAUGAGUAGAAGAAAAUUUUUACCAAUAAAAAAUGAGUAUUAUGUUUAUAAUACAAUGCAGCCUAUAAGCCGAUUAUUUUUACCUGGAGCUCCAUGGAGCCACCAUUUUGAUCACCACAUUAGAUAACAGAAUAAAUGAAUAAUGGCUAAGUGUUGUUAUUGGCCCCUUUCUACAUUGAUAAUCUGUCGAUAAUCUUUUUUUUUUUUUUGCAUGAUGUUUCAUCCGUGCCUCUAGGUGUCCGUAUAAGUUCACCAUAACUGACAUAUUGGACAGCGCAACUUAAAAAAUUUAAGUAAUAUAAAAUUAGACUGUUUUUAUGGGAACAUGAAGUUACCAUGAGAACAGAUGAAUAAAAAUAGGUGAAUGUACUGUAAAUUUUAUGUGUAUUUGUGUAAUUACAUCAUGCCAUCACAUAUAGUGCAAAUCAUCAUGUGCUUUUUUUUUUUUCGUAAGAUGUUUCUUCUUGUUAACUUACACCCAUACACACUCCACAGAACUGCAUACAUUUCACAUUGUUUGUAAAAGCCCAUCAACCUUGAGAGAGAAAGAGAGCUCACUUACCACACAGGAUCUGGUUUCCUCCAUAUUGACUUUAAUAGAGAACAGAGACACAACAGAGGUUACAGUAAGCUGUGUGCUCAGGAUGGGCCACAUUUUGUGUUGCAGUCAUUAUGGUGUCAGACUUCACUAUAACACAGCCAAACAUAUUGGUCAGCCCACAGAGUAUUCAUUCAAUGUCAAGUUAUAGGAUGCCAAGGUCAAGGUAUAUGGCUAAUGAUAGAUUUUUUCUAAGAAUUAACUUCACUUUCUGUGUUUUAUUUAUUUAUUUUUUAUUUUUUUUGUAGAUACUGUAUAUAAAUCCAGUUUCCCUCUGUCAGGAUCCUGCUACCUCGAUUGGUCUUGUUUUUAUGUUGGUGACAGGAUCGUGACACUCUGUGUUUGUAUGAGCUUUGCUUUGGCUUUGCCUUGCCGUUUUGUUUUCCCUUACAGGAUAGUUUGUAUUUCAUUUUCUUUUUGA